rnacentral:rRNA from 1 species
CCUACGGGAGGCAGCAGUGGGGAAUUUGGACAAUGGGGGGAACCCUAAUCCAGCCCAGCCGCGGAGGGAUGAAGGCCCCCGGGUGUAAAGCUAUAAUCAGGGAGGAAGGAACCGGCUAAUCCCCCGGAUAAGACGGUAUACAGAGAAGCACCGCUACUAUG